GCAUCUGUGGCCGAGAGGCCGAAGGCAGCGGACUCAUAAUCCGCCAACCUGAAAAGGUCGUCGCUGGUUCGAAUCCAGCCAGAUGCA
rnacentral:tRNA from 1 species